rnacentral:rRNA from 1 species
AAGAACGCUGGCGGCAUGCCUAACACAUGCAAGUCGGACGCUCAUAAGGGUUUCGGCCCUUGUGGGAGUGGCGGACGGGUGAGUAGCGCGUGGGAACCUGCCUUGGAGUGGGGGAUAACCGAGGGAAACUUCGGCUAAUACCGCAUGCGCCCCGGCGCGAGCCGGGGGAAAGAUUGAUCGCUCCAAGAGGGGCCCGCGUCGGAUUAGGUAGUUGGUGGGGUAACGGCCUACCAAGCCGUUGAUCCGUAGCUGGUCUGAGAGGAUGAUCAGCCACACUGGGACUGAGACACGGCCCAGACUCCUACGGGAGGCAGCAGUGGGGAAUAUUGGACAAUGGGCGCAAGCCUGAUCCAGCAAUGCCGCGUGAGUGAUGAAGGCCUUAGGGUUGUAAAGCUCUUUCGGCGGGGACGAUGAUGACGGUACCCGCAGAAGAAGCCCCGGCUAACUUCGUGCCAGCAGCCGCGGUAAUACGAAGGGGGCGAGCGUUGUUCGGAUUUACUGGGCGUAAAGGGCGCGUANGCGGCGGACCUUGUCGAGUGUGAAAGCCCCGGGCUC